UAGAGGAAGUAAAAGUCGUAACAAGGUUUCCGUAGGUGAACCUGCGGAAGGAUCAUUAAUACAUGUUGAGCGCACUUUAAUGUGACUCUUUGUAUCACCAUUACCACCCAACCCAGAGGUGCAUUGUGGCCUUUAACGAGGUUAGCAGUGUAUCAGUACGUAUCCCAAAGGCAACUUUGAGUUACAUUACCCAUCAUUUACCCCCAUUUACACUUAAUAAGUUUUAAGAAUGAAAACCAUACCUAUAUAACUUUCAGCAAUGGAUCUCUAGGCUCUCACGUCGAUGAAGAACACAGUGAAAUGUGAUACGUAAUGUGAAUUGCAGAAUUCAGUGAAUCAUCGAAUCUUUGAACGCACCUUGCACCUUUUGGUUAUUCCGAAAGGUACACCUGUUUGAGUGUCACGAAACCCCCCUCGGCUCUAAUGCUUUCUAAAAGGAUUUGAGACGGAUUCUGAGUGUUGGCGUGAUAACGCCUCGCUUUAAAUAGAUCAGCACUUUUGGAUGGUUUAAUAUUAGUUCRAAAGACGUACUUGAUGUUGUAUUUAUAUUUCGUUGAGGCAGUCUUUGGUCGUUCCGACUAUCCGCUAAUAUGACGACUUGAAGAAUAGCUUCCUAACCCUAUGAAUUUAACCUUUAGACUUCAAAUCAGGUGGGACUACCCGCUGAACUUAAGCAUAUCAAUAAGCGGAGGAAAAGAAAAUAACUAUGAUUCCCUUAGUAACGGCGAGUGAACAGGGAGAAGCCCAAAUUUGUANUCUGGCACUUUUUACGAGUGUCCGAGUUGUAAUUUGUAGAACUGUUAUCCGUGCUGGACCAUGUACA
rnacentral:rRNA from 1 species